rnacentral:rRNA from 1 species
UACGUAGGGGGCAAGCGUUGUCCGGAAUUAUUGGGCGUAAAGCGCGCGCAGGCGGUCCUUUAAGUCUGAUGUGAAAGCCCACGGCUCAACCGUGGAGGGUCAUUGGAAACUGGGGGACUUGAGUACAGAAGAGGAAAGCGGAAUUCCACGUGUAGCGGUGAAAUGCGUAGAGAUGUGGAGGAACACCAGUGGCGAAGGCGGCUUUCUGGUCUGUAACUGACGCUGAGGCGCGAAAGCGUGGGGAGCGAUCCGG